AAUCCUGGUUGAAGAUGGGUGGACCAUCAUCCAAGGCUAAAUACUACUUACUGACCGAUAGUGAACCAGUACCGUGAGGGAAAGGUGAAAAGAACCCCGGAGAGGGGAGUGAAAUAGAAUCUGAAACCGUUUGCGUACAAGCAGUGGGAGCAUGGUUUAGGCUGUGUGACUGCGUACCUUUUGUAUAAUGGGUCAGCGAGUUACUUUCAGUGGCGAGGUUAACUGAAUAAGGGAGCCGUAGAGAAAUCGAGUCUGAAUAGGGCGAUAGUCGCUGGGAGUAGACCCGAAACCGGGCGAUCUAGCCAUGUGCAGGAUGAAGGUUGGGUAACACCAACUGGAGGUCCGAACCGGGUAAUGUUGAAAAAUUAUCGGAUGACGUGUGGCUAGGAGUGAAAGGCUAAUCAAGCCCGGAGAUAGCUGGUUCUCCCCGAAAGCUAUUUAGGUAGCGCCUCGUGAAUGAUUACUGGGGGUAGAGCACUGUUUCGGCUAGGGGGCUGUCAUGGCUUACCAAACCGAUGCAAACUCCGAAUACCGGCUAAUUGAAUCACGGGAGACACACGGCGGGUGCUAACGUCCGUCGUGGAGAGGGAAACAACCCAGACCGCCAGCUAAGGUCCCCAAGUACUAGUUAAGUGGGAAACGAUGUGGGAAGGCAUAGACAGCCAGGAGGUUGGCUUAGAAGCAGCCACCCUUUAAAGAAAGCGUAAUAGCUCACUGGUCGAGUCGGCCUGCGCGGAAGAUGUAACGGGGCUAAAACUAGUCACCGAAGCUGCGGAUGUGCGCGAAGGCGCACGUGGUAGGGGAGCGUUCUGUAGGCUGAUGAAGGUGCAUUGAGAAGUGUGCUGGAGGUAUCAGAAGUGCGAAUGCUGACAUGAGUAACGAUAAUGUGGGUGAAAAGCCCACACGCCGGAAGUCCCAGGUUUCCUGCACGACGUUAAUCGGAGCAGGGUGAGUCGGCCCCUAAGGCGAGGCUGAAGAGCGUAGUCGAUGGGAACCAGGUUAAUAUUCCUGGACUUUUUAUAAGUGGUGAAGUGGGGACGAAGAAGGCUAGGUGAGCCAGGCGUUGGUUGUCC
rnacentral:rRNA from 1 species